UAGGGGAUCAUUACUGAGUUACCGCUCUAUAACCCUUUGUGAACAUACCUACAACUGUUGCUUCGGCGGGUAGGCCGUCCCCUGAAAAGGACGCCUCCCGGCCCGGACCGGACCCCCUGUGGGGCCGGACUCGGCGCCCGCCGGAGGAUAACCAAACGCUAUUUUAACGACGUUUCUUCUGAGUGGCAUAAGCAAAAUAAUCAAAACUUUUAACAACGGAUCUCUUGGUUCUGGCAUCGAUGAAGAACGCAGCGAAAUGCGAUAAGUAAUGUGAAUUGCAGAAUUCAGUGAAUCAUCGAAUCUUUGAACGCACAUUGCGCCCGCCAGCAUUCUGGCGGGCAUGCCUGUUCGAGCGUCAUUUCAACCCUCAAGCUCUGCUUGGUGUUGGGGCUCUACGGUCGACGUAGGCCCUCAAAGGUAGUGGCGGACCCUCCCGGAGCCUCCUUUGCGUAGUAACAUUUCGUCUCGCACUGGGAUCCGGAGGGACUCUUGCCGUAAAACCCCCCAAUUUUUCAAGGUUGACCUCGGAUCAGGUAGGAAUACCCGCUGAACUUAAGCAUAUCGUUAAAGCGGAGGAAU
rnacentral:rRNA from 1 species